rnacentral:rRNA from 1 species
UACGGAGGGGGGCUAGCGUUGUUCGGAAUUACUGGGCGUAAAGCGUACGUAGGCGGCUUUGUAAGUUAGAGGUGAAAGCCCGGGGCUCAACUCCGGAAUUGCCUUUAAGACUGCAUCGCUUGAAUCAUGGAGAGGUGAGUGGAAUUCCGAGUGUAGAGGUGAAAUUCGUAGAUAUUCGGAAGAAAGCACCAGUGGCGAAG